GACCCUACGGGGGGCAGCAGUGAGGAAUAUUGGUCAAUGGGCGCGAGCCUGAACCAGCCAAGUCGCGUGAGGGAUGACGGCCCUACGGGUUGUAAACCUCUUUUGCCGGGGAGCAACGGGCGCCACGUGUGGCGCCACUGAGAGUACCCGGAGAAAAAGCAUCGGCUAACUCCGUGCCAGCAGCCGCGGUAAUACGGAGGAUGCGAGCGUUAUCCGGAUUUAUUGGGUUUAAAGGGAGCGUAGGUGGAUUGUUAAGUCAGUUGUGAAAGUUUGCGGCUCAACCGUAAAAUUGAAGUUGCAACUGG
rnacentral:rRNA from 1 species